rnacentral:rRNA from 1 species
ACUCCUACGGGAGGCAGCAGUGAGGAAUAUUGGACAAUGGGUGAGAGCCUGAUCCAGCCAUGCCGCGUGCAGGAAGACUGCCCUAUGGGUUGUAAACUGCUUUUAUACAGGAAGAAACACUCGGACGUGUCCGAGCUUGACGGUACUGUAAGAAUAAGCACCGGCUAACUCCGUGCCAGCAGCCGCGGUAAUACGGAGGGUGCAAGCGUUAUCCGGAAUCAUUGGGUUUAAAGGGUCCGCAGGCGGUCAAUUAAGUCAGAGGUGAAAUCCCAUAGCUUAACUAUGGAACUGCCUUUGAUACUGGUUGACUUGAGUUAUACGGAAGUAGAUAGAAUGUGUAGUGUAGCGGUGAAAUGCAUAGAUAUUACACAGAAUACCGAUUGCGAAGGCAGUCUACUACGUAUAUACUGACGCUCAUGGACGAAAGCGUGGGAGCGAACAGGAUUAGAUACCCCUGGUAGACUGUCA